GCCUUCGUGGUGUAACGGUAGCACACUCGGCGUGUUCGAGAGGUCCAGAGUUCGAGUCUUGGCGAGGGCA
rnacentral:tRNA from 1 species